CUAGAUACAUGGUAGAGACUAGGAGAAAAUAUGAAUAAUUUUCUUCUAAACAAGGAGCUAAGUGGAUGAACCAUACCUCUAGAUUCCUUGCUUCCAUUUUCCCAGAAGAAUGGCUGAAUUCAUUGCUCCUACUACUUUGUUUGUAUAUAUAUCCUCAUAGUCAUCAAGUAAAUGAUUUUUCUUCACUGCUUACCAUGGACCUGGGACGGGUAGAUACAUUUAAUGAAUCCAGAUUUUCUGUUGUAUACACACCUGUCACCAACACGACCCAACAGAUAAUGAAUAAAGUAGCCUCUAUUCCCUUCCUGGCAGGUAAAGAGGUCUUGGGACUGCCAGAUGAGGAAAGUAUUAAAGAAUUCACAGCAAAUUAUCCCGAAGAAAUAGUAAGAGUCACCUUUACUAAUACAUACUCGUAUCAUUUGAAGUUCUUGCUAGGACAUGGAAUGCCAGCAAAGAAGGAGCACAAGGACCAUACAGCUCAUUGUUAUGAAACAAAUGAAGAUGUUUACUGUGAAGUUUCAGUAUUCUGGAAGGAAGGUUUUGUGGCUCUUCAAGCUGCCAUUAAUGCUGCUAUUAUAGAAAUCACAACAAAUCACUCAGUGAUGGAGGAGCUGAUGUCAGUUACUGGAAAAAAUAUGAAGAUGCAUUCCUUCAUUGGUCAAUCAGGAGUUAUAACUGAUUUGUACCUUUUUUCCUGCCUUAUUUCAUUUUCCUCAUUCAUUUACUAUGCAUCUGUUAAUGUCACAAGAGAGAGGAAAAGGAUGAAGGGCUUGAUGACAAUGAUGGGUCUUCGGGAUUCAGCAUUCUGGCUCUCCUGGGGUUUGCUCUAUGCUGGUUUCAUCUUCAUUAUGGCCCUUUUCUUGGCACUUGUUAUAAAAUCUACCCAGUUUAUCAUUUUGUCUGGCUUCAUGGUAGUCUUCAGCCUCUUUCUCCUGUAUGGAUUGUCUUUGGUAGCUUUGGCUUUCUUAAUGAGCAUCUUGGUAAAGAAAUCUUUCCUCACCGGCCUGGUCGUGUUCCUCCUUACUGUCUUUUGGGGGUGUCUGGGGUUCACAUCACUGUACAGACACCUUCCUGCAUCCUUGGAGUGGAUUUUAAGCUUGCUUAGUCCCUUUGCCUUCAUGCUUGGAAUGGCCCAGCUUGUACACUUGGACUAUGAUUUGAAUUCUAAUGCAUUUCCUCAUCCAUCGGACGGCUCAAAUCUCAUUGUAGCAACAAAUUUCAUGUUGGCAUUUGACACUUGCCUCUAUCUGGCAUUGGCGAUUUACUUUGAAAAAAUUUUGCCAAAUGAAUAUGGACAUCGACGUCCACCUUUGUUUUUCCUGAAGUCCUCAUUUUGGUCUCAAACACAAAAGACUGAUCACGUGGCCCUUGAAGAUGAAAUGGAUGCCGAUCCUUCAUUUCAUGACUCUUUUGAACGAGUGCCUCCAGAAUUCCAAGGGAAAGAAGCCAUCAGAAUCAGAAAUGUUACAAAAGAAUAUAAAGGAAAGCCUGAUAAAAUAGAAGCCUUGAAAGAUCUGGUAUUUGACAUUUACGAAGGCCAAAUCACUGCAAUACUUGGUCACAGUGGAGCUGGAAAGUCAACACUGCUAAACAUUCUUAGUGGGUUGUCUGUUCCCACCAAAGGUUCAGUCACCAUCUAUAACAAUAAGCUUUCAGAAAUGGCUGACCUAGAAAAUCUCAGCAAGCUGACUGGAGUUUGUCCACAAUCCAAUGUGCAAUUUGACUUCCUCACUGUAAGAGAAAACCUCAGACUCUUUGCUAAAAUAAAAGGGAUUCUGCCACAAGAAGUGGAUAAAGAGAUACAAAGGGUUCUGCUGGAAUUGGAAAUGAAAAAUAUUCAGGAUGUUCUUGCUCAAAACUUAAGUGGUGGACAGAAAAGAAAGCUAACCUUUGGGAUUGCCAUUUUAGGAGAUCCUCAGAUUUUCCUGUUGGAUGAACCAACUGCUGGAUUGGAUCCCUUUUCAAGACACCAAGUAUGGAACCUUCUGAAAGAACGCAAAACAGACCGCGUGAUCCUCUUCAGUACCCAGUUCAUGGAUGAGGCCGACAUCCUGGCGGACAGGAAAGUAUUUCUCUCCCAAGGGAAGCUAAAGUGCGCGGGCUCUUCUUUGUUUCUAAAGAAGAAAUGGGGGAUUGGAUAUCACUUAAGCUUGCAGUUAAAUGAAAUAUGUGUUGAGGAAAACAUAACAUCACUUGUUAAACAGCACAUCCCUGAUGCCAAAUUAUCAGCCAAAAGCGAAGGAAAACUUAUUUAUACAUUACCCUUAGAAAGAACAAAUAAAUUUCCAGAACUUUACAAGGAUCUUGAUAGCUAUCCUGACCUAGGAAUUGAGAAUUAUGGUGUUUCCAUGACAACUUUGAAUGAAGUAUUCCUGAAGCUAGAAGGAAAAUCUACAAUUAAUGAAUCGGAUAUUGCUAUUUUGGGAGAAGUACAAGUGGAAAAAGCUGACGACACUGAAAGGCUUGUUGAGAUGGAACAAGUCCUCUCUUCACUUAACAAGAUGAGAAAGACAAUAGGUGGUGUGGCUCUCUGGCGACAGCAAAUCUGCGCAAUUGCAAGGGUUCGCUUGUUAAAGUUAAAGCAUGAAAUAAAAGCUCUUUUAGCACUGCUAUUAAUUCUAAUGGCUGGAUUUUGCCCUCUUCUUGUGGAGUAUAUCAUGGUGAAAAUAUAUCAAAACAGUUACACCUGGGAACUUUCUCCUCAUUUGUAUUUCCUUGCUCCUGGACAACAACCACAUGACCCUCUCACUCAAUUACUGAUCAUCAAUAAAACAGGGGCAAGCAUUGAUGACUUUAUACAGUCUGUGGAGCACCAGAACAUAGCUUUAGAAGUGGAUGCAUUUGGAACUAGAAAUGGCACAGAUGACCCAUCUUAUAAUGGAGCCAUCACAGUGUGUGGUAAUGAAAAGAAUUACAGCUUUUCGUUAGCAUGCAAUGCCAAAAGAUUGAAUUGCUUCCCAGUUCUUAUGGACAUUGUUAGUAAUGGGCUACUUGGAAUGGUUAAACCAUCAGUACAUAUCCGAACUGAAAGAAGUACAUUUUUGGAGAAUGGACAGGACAAUCCAAUCGGAUUCCUGGCAUAUAUCAUGUUCUGGCUGGUUUUAACAUCGAGUUGCCCACCUUACAUUGCCAUGAGCAGCAUCGAUGAUUAUAAGAACAGAGCUCGGUCCCAGCUACGGAUUUCCGGACUCUCCCCUUCUGCUUACUGGUUUGGGCAGGCGCUGGUGGAUGUUUCCCUGUACUUCUUGGUCUUCGUUUUUAUAUAUUUAAUGAGCUACAUUUCAAACUUCGAAGACAUGCUACUUACAAUAAUUCAUAUUAUUCAAAUCCCAUGUGCUGUUGGUUAUUCCUUUUCCCUCAUCUUCAUGACAUACGUGAUUUCCUUCAUCUUUCGCAAGGGGAGAAAAAAUAGUGGCAUUUGGUCAUUUUGUUUCUAUGUUGUAAGUAUAUUUCUUGUGGAUGUAUACUGUAUAUAUUUGAUAUACAAUUCUGAGCUAAUCCUUUAAAUUUUGCCCUCUGUAGGAUGAUAAUAUUAUGGUCUAUAAUAAACACAAGAUUACAAAUUCAGUUACUGACAUGGUUAAAACUAGAAAUUACUUCACCAAACUCCCUAAUAAGAAUUAAUUCCAUAAAGCCUCUCUUCUUUUGUCUAAAUUA
rnacentral:sRNA from 1 species